rnacentral:tRNA from 1 species
GGCCUGAGAUAAUACUAAAUUGCAAGUUUAGUUUUGAAAGUGCAAGUUUUCGCAGGCUUA